GUUCAGCUCAGUGGCACACAUACUGAAAUUAAAGCAAUACAGAGAAGAUUAGCAUGGCCUCCUUCUGCUGCAAGGAUGAUAAGCAAACCUGUAAAAUGUGUUAUAUAGUU